UUAGUUCAUGGUGGAAUAUGUAAC
rnacentral:siRNA from 1 species